UACGUAGGGCGCAAGCGUUGUCCGGAAUUAUUGGGCGUAAAGAGCUUGUAGGCGGUCUGUCGCGUCUGCUGUGAAAAAUCCGGGGCUCAACCCCGGACUUGCAGUGGGUACGGGCAGACUAGAGUGUGGUAGGGGAGACUGGAAUUCCUGGUGUAGCGGUGAAAUGCGCAGAUAUCAGGAGGAACACCGAUGGCGAAGGCAGGUCUCUGGGCCAUAACUGACGCUGAGAAGCGAAAGCAUGGGGAGCGAACAGG
rnacentral:rRNA from 1 species